rnacentral:lncRNA from 1 species
CUGCAGUGACACAAUGUACAGCCUCUCUGCACCCAAAGGACUGUGCCUCUGAAAGUGUUAGUGGCAGAAGUUCAUUCUCUCCCCCACCCCCACCCACACGACGAGGGAAGCCUUGUCUUUGGGGAAGGAGCAAAGCUGGAGGAGGGCAGCACACGCCUUCACCGCGGCCCGGUUACUCGGCGCAGCAGCCCAAGGAAAGUGCAGCCUGUCUAUUGGUAUCCCAUCUCAGCUGCCAAUUAACUUUGUUGAUAUACAUGCCCAUAACUUACUACAAUGAGCUGCUGGAACAACUAAAAAAAAAUAAAACAUGUUGUUUUUGCCAGUGACCACAAGAGGACACAAUUUCCCAGAGAACUUAAUUUAAAAAGCUCAUAGAAGAAAGCUAACGAAAUAGCAGAAAUACCACACAAUUAAUGAGUGUCACUUUGGAAAUGUCUGGUUGAUUUAUAUGAAUUCUAUUGAAUUUAAAAAACAAACAUGCAUUAUUAUUGAAGCUUUAGAUGUUUCUAAGAUACCAUUUUUGACUUAUUGUAGGCCCCAAAUAAAAGUAUGCAUUUCUGAAAAUAUACAAAAAUGCUACUGUUGUAAUUCAAAUAAAA